GUGUAUUGGACUACCAUGGCAAUCACGGGUAACGGAGAAUUAGGGUUCGAUUCCGGAGAGGGAGCCUGAGAAACGGCUACCACAUCUACGGAAGGCAGCAGGCGCGAAAAUUGCCCAAUCCUGAUUCAGGGAGGCAGUGACAAGAAAUAACAACUUUCAACUUUGUUGAAAAGUGUAAUGAGGAUAAUUUACAAACCUUACCGAAAGCAAUUGGAGGGCAAGUCUGGUGCCAGCAGCCGCGGUAAUUCCAGCUCCAAAAGCGUAUAUUAAAGUUGUUGCAGUUAAAAAGCUCGUAGUUGAAGUUCUGGCUGUAUUGGGCCUCUGCACUCGAUGCGGAGGAACCAGCAGUCAUCCGCUUGCAAAUACAUGUCCUUCCUUAACCGGUAGGCUGUAUAAGUAAGCACUUUACCUUGAGAAAAACAG
rnacentral:rRNA from 1 species